CUAACAAGGAUUCCCCUAGUAACGGCGAGUGAAGCGGGAAGAGCUCAAAUUUGUAAUCUGGCGGUCUCAGGCCGUCCGAGUUGUAGUCUGGAGAAGCGUUUUCCGCGCCGGAUCGUGUACAAGUCCCUUGGAACAGGGCGUCAUAGAGGGUGAGAAUCCCGUCUUCGACACGAACUACCGGUGCUCUGUGAUGCGCUCUCAAAGAGUCGAGUUGUUUGGGAAUGCAGCUCAAAACGGGUGGUAAAUUCCAUCUAAAGCUAAAUAUUGGCGAAAGACCGAUAGCGAACAAGUACCGUGAGGGAAAGAUGAAAAGCACUUUGGAAAGAGAGUUAAACAGUACGUGAAAUUGUUGAAAGGGAAACGAUUGAAGUCAGUCGCGUCUUCCGGGACUCAGCCUUGCUUUUUGCCUGGCGCAUUUCCCGGGGUUGACGGGCCAGCAUCGAUUUCGGUCGACGGAAAAAGGCAGGGGGAAUGUGGCACCUUCGGGUGUGUUAUAGCCCCCUGUCGCAUGCGUCGACUGGGAUCGAGGAUCGCAGCACGCCUUUAAUGGCCGGGGUUCGCCCACGUAACGUGCUUAGGAUGCUGGCGUAAUGGCUUUAAACGACCCGUCUUG
rnacentral:rRNA from 1 species